rnacentral:rRNA from 1 species
UACGAAGGGUGCAAGCGUUACUCGGAAUUACUGGGCGUAAAGCGUGCGUAGGUGGUUUGUUAAGUCUGUUGUGAAAGCCCCGGGCUCAACCUGGGAAUGGCAAUGGAUACUGGCAGGCUAGAGUGCGGUAGAGGGUAGUGGAAUUCCCGGUGUAGCGGUGAAAUGCGUAGAGAUCGGGAGGAACACCUGUGGCGAAAGCGGCUCACUGGACCAUAACUGACGCUGAUGCACGAAAGCUAGGGGAGCAAACAGG